AGUUUAUUUUUGUUAUUUUGGGGAAUUUUACUUGGUCGUUUUUCCUAACAGUGGCUGAUAAAUUGGAAUGCUUUAUUGUUUUCAGCUGGCUUGCAUUACAUAGGCUACCGUCAUUGUUGAUUUUGAGUCCCUCAACUCUUUCUAGUCAAACUUUCUGUUCCUUUUUCCUAUUAUAAUUUUCAUUUCAAAUUUUGGAAAUGAAAAUUUGGAUCCCAGGUGGAGUCAUAGUUCACUAAUACUUUGAGCAGUAAUUGGGGAUUGAAAUGUUAAGUCGGCAUACUCUUUUAUAUUGAGAAAGAGGUCAUCUGUAAAAUUAUCAUGAGUUAUGGGAAGUUACUGUUUUUCUUGUUGGCAGAUUGCUUCUUCGCUCUGAAGGUCUGGAAUGCCCAAAAUGCGGGCGCCGCUGCAGUUCUAGUUGCAGAUGAUGUUGAAGAAAGGCUGAUCACCAUGGACACACCUGAAGCGGAUGGUUCUUCUGCAAAAUACAUUGAGAACAUAACAAUACCAUCUGCCCUUAUUGAGAAAAGCUUUGCAUGAAAGGCUGAUAACCAUGGACACGCCUGAAGCAGAUGGUUCUUCUGCAAAAUACAUUGAGAACAUAACAAUACCAUCCGCCCUUAUUGAGAAAAGCUUUGCAGAGAAGUUGAAGAAAGCUGUGAGUGC
rnacentral:lncRNA from 1 species